rnacentral:rRNA from 1 species
CACCCAGGCGAGAACCCUGAGGGCCGAAGUGGAGAAGGGGUUUCUCGAGAACGGCACUCGCUCGAGAGUUAGUCGAUCCUAAGCUGCCGGCGGCAGCCACGAAACGGUCGAUCGGGCGCGAGCCCGGCAGCCACGACCGGGCAGCGAAAGGGAAUUGGGAACCUCCUUCCCAAACCCGGAACCGGAACGAGGGCGGCGACGCGAACGAAACGGCCGCGGAGACGGCGGCCGCGGCCCCGGAGAGAGUUCUCUUUUCUGUGCGACUGGACGUCGGCCCCGGAAUCGCGUCGAGCGGAGGGGGGGUCGGAGUUCAGGAAUAGCACCCCGGCCUUUCGGGGUGUCCGGGCGGCCGCGGUCGUCCCAUGAAAAUCCGCGGAUGAACGAGUAGGCGACGGUCCGGGUCGUACCAAUGACCGCAUCGGGUCUCCAAGGUUGAAAGCCUCUGGCUAACGGGG